CCCACCGCCGUGACCAGCGUGUGCUUCCCAAUGCCAACUCACCUCAUCUCAGGCCGGAGGAUUUGAGUGUAAACGAGACACCGUCCCAGGAAGAGCUCAGAAAAGUGCUUCGGGCGUCAAGGGGUGACUGGAGGACGAAUGAAACUUUAAGGAUGGCAACAGGCACUCCAGCUGCUUACUUCCAGACUCCGGAGCCUCAGUUUCCAGAGGAAGCCGGCACUUGAGCCUCUUCAGGUGCACAAACAGCUUGGGAACACUCCUGGGCAGGCACCUUCUGUCACCUGUGCACCUGAUGCUCCCUGGAGGGUCAAAAUAAGGCAUCAGGUGCCCCAGAGUUGAAGCUGCAAAUGGUUGGAAACUGCCUGAUGUAGAUGCAGGAACAAACUCCAGUGCAAGAGCAGCAAACACUCAAAGGCUGACCCUUCUUCCCAUCCUCCAGAGGGAGCAUUUUCAGAGGAGGACACAGCCCAGCACAGAGGGUUCAAGAGAACGUGAAGGUGAUAUCAGUGAGUUAGAGGGCAACUAUAUUAAAAAGGGGAGUUUGCUUGUCGUUUGCUUGUUUGGGUCAAAGGGAACAGAGAAAUAAGGACACAAGUGGACGGUGCUUGGCACUGUGAUCGGGAUGGGUAACA